GACGAACGCUGGCGGCGUGCUUAACACAUGCCAGUCGAACGGAAAGGCCCUGCUUGCUGGGUACUCGAGUGGCGAACUGGUGGGUAACACGUGGGUGCUCUGCACUGUACUUCGGGAUAAGCUUGGGCAAAUGGGUCUAAUACCGGAUAGGAGCUAUCACCAGUGUGGUGGUUGGGAAGUUUUUUCGGUGUAGGAUGAGCUCGCGGCCUUUCAGCGUGUUGGUGGGGUAAUGGCGUACCAAGGCGGAGACGGGGAGCCGGCAUGAGAGAGUGUGGGGCCGCAUCAGAACUGAGAUACGGCCCAGAGUGCUACGUGAGGCAGCAGGGGGGAAUAUUGGACAAUGCGCGAAAGCCUGAUGCAACGACGCCGCGUGGGGGAUGAAGGCCUUCGGGUGGUAAACACCUCUCGCGAGGGACGAAGCGUUGUUGUGACGGUACCUAGAUAAGAAGCACCGGCUAACUACGUG
rnacentral:rRNA from 1 species